rnacentral:tRNA from 1 species
GCCGUGGUAGCUCAGCUGGGAGAGCAUUCGAACCACAACCGAAGGGUCGCAGGUUCAAAUCCUGCCCACGGCA